UGUCUAGUUCAAUCAUCAAUGUAAUUUCGGCUAAAGCUCUCGCAUUCAAAUCAGCAUCAGCCGCAUUAUCAAUAUAGGCCAUCCAGCAUCCUUUAAAAACAAGAUACGAUUACGCUUUCCUCUCCCAAACGUCGAAGUUUUUGCGUCCACGCAAUCUUUCCAGCGGAAAAGCUAUUUUAUUACCAGCUAUUUUGUUUUUAUUCGAAAAAUCACAAUUUUUCAAUAUGAAAAAAUAUGUAUCUAUUUGUAUCUAUAUGUAUCUAUUAUUACAAAUGUGACUAAAGCCCAUAACCUGUUAAAUUGAAUUCGUUUAUCGAACUGAAUGAAAAAUGAGAAUACAUAAUUGACAAAAACAUUGUGAUACCAAAGCAAUUAUUUUAUUCUAAAGUACAAUAUUGGUUCGAUUCUCAACAUUUUCAAAGUUUCUAUUUGGAGCUCGCAAUGAGUACAAUCUCCUUUGGCAAAGAAUUGCCUAGGCUGGUUCAUGUUUUCAUAAGUCUCCAUUACGAUAUUCGGUAAUUUGGCAAGUUUAAUCACAUUUUUCGAUCUUCAUUUUUCGUUAAUGUUUGGAGUUUGCAAUAGAUUUAGUAGCUCCAAACCAAACUCGUACAGCUAAAGAAAAAUUUGUAUUUUUCUUAUAACUUCCAAUAAAAUGUGUUUUUUUUUUUUACAUUGUACACUAUGUAAGUAAUUUAAAAAGCAAAAAAAAAAACUUAACAUUUUAAUUCAUUUAAAGUAAAACAAGUAAAAAAACAUUAACAGCCUGUUCCACGAUCUCGAAAGAAAAUUUGUGCGAACGAAGGCUACUCACUCACUUUCGCAUAAGAAUGCGUUCCACUAACUUUCGUUCUUUCUUUCGCAUAGCCUUACGUGAUUCAGUGUUGCAAAAUAUUUUUUGGCAAAAUUAAUCGCGAAAUAAGGCAAAAAAAAGCGCCAAAUGUCUAAUAUAAACGCGAAAAAGCAGCAGUGGCUCUGUCUCAACUGACAGUUCAGUUGUAAACAAACAAAUUGUAAAUAAACAAACAAAAUAAAAUUUCUAGUGAUUGUGUUCAGAUUAUUUGUGUUCUUAAAAAAGAAAAAAAUGAAUAUUUCUGUAGCCCUAUUUUUUAUGGAUGAUGAGGAGGAGGUUCAAAUUGUGCCACGGAUGCAUUUAAGAGAUGCUUCGAAUUUAUUUGAAGUACCUAACAGCCAGUUUGUGUCUUCCAGUGGUCUUCAUGGGAUUGCCUGCUGCUUCCAAAAAUUGGCACUCCUCUGGCGAACUUAGGAUUCUCCCCCAUAUACUCAACUAUUGCCCGCAGCUGUGUAGUUUUUUCGUGCUGGAAUUGAGAAAAUAAAAAAAUAUAUAUUUGUUGUUCACAGAUUAAA